GGCCCCAUGGUCAAGUGGUUAAGACACCGCCCUUUCAAGGCGGUAACAGGGGUUCGAAUCCCCUUGGGGUCA
rnacentral:tRNA from 1 species